rnacentral:rRNA from 1 species
CCCUUAGACGUUCUGGGCCGCACGCGCGCUACACUGACACAGGCAACGAGCUUUCCUUUACCGAAAGGUAUGGGUAAUCUUUUGAAACUGUGUCGUGCUGGGGAUAGAUCCUUGCAAUUUUUGAUCUUAAACGAGGAAUUCCUAGUAAGCGCGAGUCAUCAACUCGCGUUGAUUACGUCCCUGCCCUUUGUACACACCGCCCGUCGCUACUACCGAUUGAAUGGCUUAGUGAGGCCUCAGGAUCCGCGCUUAAUGUGUGGAGAAUUUGGACAAACUACGUCAUUUAGAGGAGGUAAAAGUCGUAACA